rnacentral:tRNA from 1 species
GGUUCUUUAGCUCAGUUGGCUAGAGCGCAGCAUUCACAUUGCUGAGGUCGUAGGUUCGAGACCUACAAGAACCACCA